rnacentral:misc_RNA from 1 species
GAUGAAGAACGCAGCGAAAUGCGAUAAGUAAUGUGAAUUGCAGAGUUCAGUGAAUCAUCGAAUCUUUGAACGCACAUUGCGCCCGCCAGCACUCUGGCGGGCAUGCCUGUUCGAGCGUCAUUUCGACCAUCAGGCCCUCCGGGCUUGUGUUGGGGCUCCCUGCGGCUGUCCGCAGGCCCUGAAAACCAGUGGCGGGCUUGCAAAGUCACACCGAGCGCAGUAGAUUUUUUUCAUCUCGCUCAGGGCGUGCGUGCGGGCGCCGGCCGUAAAAGACGAGAGCGCGGCCUCGGCCGCCCACAAAUACCACAAGGUUGACCUCGGAUCAGGUAGGAAUACCCGCUGAACUUAAGCAUAUCAAUAAGCGGAGGA